rnacentral:rRNA from 1 species
AACCUCCGCAAUGUACGAAAGUGCGACGGGGGGAUCCCAAGUGUUAUGCUUUUUUGUAUAACUUUUCAUUAGUGUAAAAAGCUUUUAGAAUAAGAGCUGGGCAAGACCGGUGCCAGCCGCCGCGGUAACACCGGCAGCUCGAGUGGUAGCUGUUUUUAUUGGGCCUAAAGCGUUCGUAGCCGGUUUGAUAAGUCUUUGGUGAAAGCUUGUAGCUUAACUAUAAGAAUUGCUGGAGAUACUAUCAGACUUGAAGUCGGGAGAGGUUAGAGGUACUACCGGGGUAGGGGUGAAAUCCUAUAAUCCUGGGAGGACCACCUGUGGCGAAGGCGUCUAACUGGAACGAUCUUGACGGUGAGUAACGAAAGCCAGGGCGCGAACCGGAUUAGAUACCCGGGUAGUCCUGGCCGUAAACGAUGUGGACUUGGUGUUGGAAUGGCUUUGAGUUGUCCGGUGCCGAAGGGAAGCUGUUAAGUCCACGCCUGGAGUACGGUCGCAAGACUGAAACUUAAAGGAAUU